rnacentral:rRNA from 1 species
UACGAAGGGUGCAAACGUUGCUCGGAAUCAUUGGGCGUAAAGCGCGUGUAGGCGGCCCGGUAAGUCCGCUGUGAAAGUCCAGGGCUCAACCCUGGGAUGCCGGUGGAUACUGUCGGGCUCGAGUCCGGAAGAGGCGAGUGGAAUUCCUGGUGUAGCGGUGGAAAUGCGCAGAUAUCAGGAGGAACACCAAUGGCGAAGGCAGCUCGCUGGGACGUGACUGACGCUGAGACGCGAAAGCUAGGGGAGCAAACGGG